GCUCCAGCGAUACUUUCCUGUUUCCUCUAUCAACUUCCGGCCUUUCCUCUUUCCAUCCGGCCCUUCUCAGCCACAGCCCUGCGAGUACGUCAUGACACGGUGCCACGGUUUUUUCCCAUGGGCCCCUGGCCAGAAAGAGGAAAAGGUCACUGUAAAUAUUGCACUGAAAUCCUCCCUCCCCACAUCGAGCUCCUGAAGAGGGAACAGGCGACCAGUGGGCCCAGGCCAGACAACAGGCUACUGUGUCUCAGGAGGAAAAGUCUGGAUCGACCCUCAACACCAUUAAGAAGUACCUUCUGGGAAAAGUCUAGCAAGCAAAAUGCAAAAUCCACCAGGGUGUUGAAAACUUAAGGUAUAUCCAGUAUGAUUUCCUCUGCUUCAGGAGAGAUUUUUAUCACACAUGCUGUUUGUUCAAGAGGUUGUUUGUGUAAUAACAUUUUAUCGUGGGCUCAUGUUGUAUUGGCAUAUGAAGACAUCGGAGAGGAAACUGCUUACAUCCACCAGGCGAAGCAAUCCAUGCAUAAUGCAGGAUGUUUCCUCCUCAAGCCUAAUGUUUCUGAUCUGAUGUGACAGGUCGCACUGUGUGGAUACUGUUUAUGUUCAUAAACAGGUGGGCUUUGUUAGAGGUGGGUGUCUGUAUGCUGGAUAGACGGCCCAUGGCAAUCACAAUCAGGAAGACAUGAUGAGGAUGAUACAUUCAUAAGCCAGGCUGAGGCUAUUUGCACAGACACUCUGUUUUCGAUCGUCAUUGGUCCAUUAUUGUCUUUUUUCAUUGGUCAAAUGUUGUCAUGUUUUCAUUGGUCAGAUUGUAUCGUUUAGUUCUUGUUUAAUUUUAAAAAGGAAGUGACAUAGCACAUUAUGCUGAUAUAUAUAUAUAUAUACCAAGCAACUGAUGCCCUAUUUGGUUCUCGGUAAAUGUUUAUCUGUAUGUAUCUGUAUUAUGUACAUGUUGUGAUUUGUAGUGUGUUUUUAUUAUGUCUU